rnacentral:lncRNA from 1 species
UUUUUUUUUGUUGAAAAAGAUUUGCAUUUUCUCGAAUCAAAAAACUAAUUUUCUGUUUUAACUCCUUGUUUCUAGCAUAGGAUUCUUUCAAACUAUCAUGCAAUUUUAUAAUGAAAGAUUCAAGAUCAUCAUCAGUUUCAUCAUCACUUUCAACUUGAGAGUUACAAGUUGUUACCUCAUCAUCUCCAAUGGCCAUGAAAGCCAAUUGAGCAGAUUCUUCUUCCUCUUCAAUUUCACCAUCGGAGUUGCAUUCAUUCCAUGUGAACUGGAAGUUAUUGAAUCUGGGUUUUCUUUCACCUUUUCUCUUCUUCACUGGACACUCACUUGCAUAAUGUCCAGGUUGGCCGCAUUCAAAGCACUUGUCACCUUGCUUUUUGUUGGCCUCAUAUCUUCCUUUAUUUCUUGCAUUUUUGAAUUGAUUAGAAUCUGAAUUGCUAGAUCCUCCUCUUCUAAAUCUCUUUUUGUUGAGAAUCCUCUUGAAACUUCUUGUGAUGAGAGCAAGAUCACUGUCAUCACCAUCCGAGUCUUCAUCAUCCAACAGAGCUGGAUCAUCUUCACCUUGAGCUGCCUUUAGAGCAAUGUUUCUUUUUGAUCUCGCAUCCUCUUCCUCCUGCACUUUAGUUUUCAACUUCAACUCAUAGGAGGUUAGUGAGUUAAUGAGAGAUUCAAUAGGUACAGAAUUCAAAUCCUUAGCCUCUUCUAUUGCAGUCACUUUACUUUCCCAUUCUUUGCCCAAUGCAUUGAGAAUUUUCCUAUUUUUCUCUCCCAAUGUGUAUUCUUUGCCCAACACCUCGAGAUCUUUGAUCAAGUCAUUGAACCUGCAAUACAUUUUGUCAAUAUUCUCAAGGGGUUCUAUUUUAAAUGAUUCAUACUUUGUGACCAAGAUAGACUUUUUCUGUUCUCUCACGUUGUCACUACCCUCAUAAAUUUCUCUUAGCUUAUCCCACAUUUCUUUGGUAGAUUUACAUCCUUUGACUCUAAUUGACUCAUUUGAGUCUAAGGCACUAUAAAGAACAUUCAUGGCUUUGGCAUUCAAUGUGAGAUUGGUUCUAUCUUGAGCAUUCAUCUCAGCUCUUGUUUUUGGCCGAAACAAACCUGUAUCUGCAUCAAGAAUGUUAGUGUCAUGCGGUCCUUCAUUUACAAUAAACCAUAGCUCAAUAUCAAUGGAUUGCAAAAAGAUAAUCAUUCUUUCUUUCCAACUAAAAUAAUUGGAACCAGUAAACAUGGGAGGCCUAGUGACCGAUUGUCCCUCAACAAACAUGGCAUGAUUGGUUGUCAUCUUUACUCCAAGCCGCUUGAGCUUAAUCUCUAGGAACCAAGCUCUGAUACUAAUUGUAAGGCCCAAAGACAACCUAAGAGGGGGGUGAAUUAGGUUGAUUAAAAUCUUAAUCAAACUUAUACAAUUUUUCUUUAAUAAAAAUUUACCUUCUUUUCUAGUAAUGAUCAACCAAGUAGAUUAGAAGAAGAGAGCAAUGUUGAUUAGAAAAACAAGUAUAGAUAAGCAAUGAGAAUUUUAUUAAACAAAAAGAAUAAGAUAGAAUAUCAAACCGAUUGUCUACCAAGCUUUCCUCAAACUUGAAGACCAAUCACUAGGUUGAGCAACUUCUCUUUGAUGAAAGAUGAUCAACUAGAUGUACAAUGGAGGGAGCACUUCCUCCUUACCCUAAGCCUCACUUAGUCAAGCUAAGAAGUUUUACAAUCACUCAGAUAACCCUCAACAAAGCUACACUAAUAAAACUUUCAACCACAAGAGAAAUGCUCACAAGAAAUUCACACCACUUGGAGAACAAAUCUUGUCUUGGAGACUAUUUUCAAGUUAAAAUAUCUCUUGAGAUCUUGUAAACAAAGUGUGCAAAAGUUCCUUCUUCGUUCAGAAUCGUUUGUAUUUGAAGGGGACCAAAAAUGGGCUUCAUUAAUGCUUCCAACGGAUAGAAGGCAGAUGAAGAGUCAGCUAGCCGUUGGGGCUGUCGGACGUCCGACAACCUAGUCAUCGUCCGAUCCCAUCAUCCGAAAAUCAGUCAAGUUGUUGUUCGGACGUCCGAUGAGAUUUUAUCGUCCGAGCUUCUGUGUCCGAACGUCGUCCAGAGAGUUAUCAAAGCUUUGUGGAAUUUUUAGGACGUCCGAUGAGAUUGAUGUGCGUCCGAAGCAUGCGUCCGAUCCUUCAGGAUGUCCGAUGCUUCCUUACGAGCGUCCGACAGAGUUUCCUUCUUGAUGUUCUUCAUCCUUUCGGACGUCCGACAUGAGUGUCCUGUUUUUGCUUCUUCUUUUGGUUGAUUUUCAUUUCUUGACAUAUUCGUACCUGAUUCUUUGAUAGGCAAAAAACACUUAUAUUUGAAAAGAGUUAGAUAAAUAUUUCAAAGUACUUUGUGAUCAUCAAAACCAAGAAUAACAGAUCUUUUCGAGAGAACCUUUUCAAAAAUAAUUUGCCCCAGUGUAGGGCCUUUUUCCCUUCUUUCUUCUCUUUAUUCGGCAUCGGCCUUCCACAUCACUAGAUGUUCUUUCGUCGAUUUCAGCCAUAAAUACCUGUACAGGGGGGCUUACCAAAGUAUGACAUGCACUUGAAUUUCAUGAAAAGAGCAGCGUGAUUGAUUCAAAAAAUGUAUUAUUUGAUUUUUGGACGAAAACCUCAAAUGUAUUACAAAAAAUUUAUCCCAGUGUGGGCCCAUUUUACGAAAUCUCAUAAACAAAAAAUUGCCCGAGUAUGGGCCCAUUUUGUAAAAUCUCUCAAAUGAAAAUUUGCCCCAGUGUGGACCCAUUUAAUUGCAAACAUUUGUUUGGAUGGCUCUUAAUUUUUUGAACAAUGUAAGAAACUAUGUUUCCUAACAGAAAAUUUCAUGAGGAAUCUCUCGAAAUAAAAUCAAAUCACAGAAGAUUUCUUCCACACCUUAGCAUCGGUGCUUAGGGUAACGGGUCGCCACUUCUUGUUGGCUCAUCUUUCAAGACCAAUCAAGUGAUCUUAUUUCUGAUUUUGAGAUGGCUAAGGAAAAUGAUAAGUCAAGAUUUGUCUUGUUCUUGUGCCCAAAAUUGUAUGUAAUCCAUUCAACAUCACAUCUUAGUGAAAGCAAAUAGUUUGUCACCCUUAUUUCUUAAGAAAACUUAGUCAACACAUAAGAUUUAUAAGCUUGUAACAGAGGGGUAGAAACGAUACCAACGCAUGCGGAAACAGGUUAUAACCUUAUGAUCAGGAGCGUAACCCUUGCUUUGAGUUGUCAUGAGAGAUAAGCCAGCGAUGGACUUUAUGAGCUUGUAAUGCGGCUGGAAAACGAUAGUUGAAGGAAUAAGACUUUCAAGAACAUUGCACCGAAGAUCGCAUUUCCAAAAUUGCCCCUAUUUUGAACUCAAAGAUCUCAGAUUUGGUGACUUUCAUCAUCACUUAACGGGGACUUCACCAUCAAAUCUUUUUCAUUUCCUUUACAAUUAUUUUUGCUUUUUCCUUUUCUUUUCUUUUCAAAGGUGCCCUGGCGGAUUUUCAGACGAUGAGUAAUGUCAACUUCACAGCUAAUCAAUUCAGAAAUACAUCUAAACAAUUUCCUAGCAUCAGUAUAUGCGCAUCACUUGCCAAUUAAUUAGAAAGUUUCUUAACAAAGAUAUUGCAAAGAACGGAAGUCAGGACUUUCGACUUUUGUAAUAGGGUCUGGUGGGGUGUUUAGAAAAGUUAAGGCUUGAAGGCAGAUUUCAAAAGUGGUUUAAGUAAUCUGAGAUCGCAUUGUUGCGCCAACCCUAUUUUAGGGUUAAAUAAAAAACUUGCCCCAGUUCAUUCUCCAUUGAGGCUUUUUCUUUUUCAUUUCGUUCUCUUUUUCGGCCUUCUGCCAUUCUUUUGAACUUUUCCAAAAAUUUGCCCCAAUUUAUGCUCAACCGAGGUUCUCUUUUCUUUUUUCUUCUUUUGAUUUUGGCCCUCUUUCAAAAAUUAAAUUUGCCCUAGUUUGGGGUUUUUCUUUUCCUUCUUUUUCAAAACUCAAUUUACCCCAAUGUGGGGUUUGUGAUUCUCUGGGGUUGCCAAACGAAAUAGUUUAUUCUGAAGGUUCAAAAGGGAUAACUAGAGAUAAAAUGUUUGAUUGGAAAGGAAGAUGGCCUGACUUUCGUUCCAUUCCUCACAUUGACCCUGAAAGGAAACUUUCAUUUAUGCGAAAUUUCUUGCAUGUAUCUGAAUUAAUUGACUAAGGAAGACUCUUGUUCAUCCAUAUCUAUGAAACAUAAGUGAUCCGCCGAACAAAACUCGUCCUUUUUCUCUUUUCUUUUCAAAAUUGAAACCCAGGUAGAAUCAAAUUUUCCCAAUUUGAGGUUUCCUUUUCUUUUCUUUUCUUUUUUUGCAAAAUUUCCCAAUCUCCUUCCUCAAUGUGGGGUGCGAUCAUAAGUGUAUUCGAAAAGAACCACCUAUUUUGACUCAAAUGAGGAUGCAAGGGGUAAUCCGUGUUUAGGUUGUAGAAACGAUGGCCAAAGUAUCAUUAUCCGUGUUUAGGUUGUAGAAACGAUGGCCAAAGCAUCAUUCUUACGCUUCAUGACAACCAAAGUAAAGAAUAACUCAUCGAGAACCCAUUCUCUUUUAAAAAUUUUUCCAAUGUAGGGUAGUGAUCAUUAAGACCCUUAUUUGAAACGAAAUUAUUCUUUUAUGGCUCAAAUGGGAGAGCAAAUGAUAAAGUCUGUAUAGAUAGAGAAACGAAAGUCUAAAGUAUCAUUCCAAAUUUUUAAAACAAAGAAGAAGUGAUGUACAUUUUUGCUUUCACUUAGAUGUGAAUUGAAUUUGAUUAAACUAGUGGGCAUUUUUCCAAGCAAAGAUUAUCCCAAUUUGCAAUUUGUUAAUCAAUGUGACUGAUUCUUGGGGGUCCAUAGAAGUGGGCAAAAUAUGGAUUGUGCAGUGAAGGAGAAAAGGUAUUGCAUUGGGCCUUUUGAAUAACCUCUUUUAAUUUUGAGCACUAUUAUUGUACAGUUUGAAUCACCAAUCUAGUGAAUGCAGAGAAUUUAUAAAACAUACACUUGUAAAUUUUCAGACAGGAGGUCGAAAAAUCUCAAUUUCGUCUUAUUUCUUAAAAUUCAUCAUGAAAUCCCUCAAAUAGCAAAAAAAGAAUGAAAUAUACAUGAUUAUAUACAAAACAACAAUUGUAUAAAUAAAAAAAAACUUUAUUGCUGAAAAAUUUGAAACAAAAUUUCUUCAAAUGAGAAGAGAAAGACUUCUGAAGAGCUCCACAUAUACCCACUUUUUGCCUCUUUUUUAGAACAUAAUUUUUCUUUUCUUUGAAAAAUAAUGAUGAAAUCUCUUAGAGGCUUUAGCCUAGCACUUCCAAAUAGAUCCUUCAUGUUUUCAUUGCAGGGUCUGCCCAAGAAUCAAGUAAUAUUUAUAAUUUUCAGGAUUCAUUAGACAAAAUCGUCAUCAAAUAUAGAAAGAAUAUUUUUACUUCAUUGAAAUCUCUUUUAUAAAUGCAGGGGAGGGGGAAAAAUAAAAGAACAAAAUACCCACAGUUAGUAAUUAAAAUUGUAAAAUCGGUAUGCAUGUCCUAUGGGGGAGCCCUUUUGCGCCAAGGGUUGGCCUAUCAUGAAAAUGCAAUCCUCUGGGAGUAGGCACUAUACAAUACCUGAUGGAUCCGAUCAACUUAUUGAGUGAAAAAUAAUUUGAAAAUUUUGGUCAAUUGGAGUGACGAGAGACAUUUGUCAAAAUGAGGACAACGUCCGAAUGGAUUGAUCACUUCGAUCGAUACAAGAAUUUGUAAAAACGCACCGGUUUGAUCUUGACAAACUUCCUAUCAGAGAGAUUGAAAUUCGUUGACAAAUUUUCUCAGUGAAGCAUGGGUCAAAACCCCAACCGACCAAAUGGCUGGAUGCAAUGGAUGGUUUUCUUAGAAUCGACUAGGUUUCCCAAUUUGAAAUUCGACAUUGAAACCCUAAUUGGUCAAAUGGGUUGAAUGAAAUUGACAAUUUAUUUAAAAUCGACCGGAUUACCCUAAAAAGGGUAAACUAGUCAAAUAAAUUGGAUAAAAUUGAUAAUUUAUUCAAAUUUGACCGGAUUACCCUAAAAAUGGUAAACUGGUCAAAAGAAUGAAAUGGAUGAUUUAUUCAAAAUUGACUAUAUUGUCCUAAAAUGAAUGAAUUGACCAAAUAAAUUGGAUGAAUUUGAUGGAUAAUUUGAUCAAAUGAAUUGAAUGGAAAUGAUGGUUUAUUGAAUCGUCUACCUAUUGGUAGUUUCAAAAAGUCAUUGCGAUGCAUUAGUCUAUGAGUCUUCUAAAAUCAAGAUUUGGCCUCAAUAUGUUUAUCGUCUCAAGAAGGACCAUUUGUAAAUUUCUUCAAAUUAAUGUCCUUUAUGCAAGGGAUUUUUACCAGAUAUGUUAAAAUGGCCAAAAGAUGAUUGUUAGAUGUCCAUAUCCUAAUGUGCAAAAAUUGCUUUGUCGUCUUCGAAAAGAUCGGAUCCUACCUUAUCUCGUGCACUACCCCUUCGGACAGUACAAGAAAUAUAACCGUGCAAGUCUCAUUGGAUUAAGUAUCCGAGACACGAGGUGGUUUAUUCCUAUAACGGGAUUCCCUAAAUGGUAUUUCAUCUAAAACUUGUGCAUGAUGCCAAUGUAUCAAAGCAAUUUAAAUAUGCAAAAUAUGACCUGAGGAACCCUUUGUAUGCCAGGGUAGGCCUAGAAUGAUGUUCAAUUUUCAAUCUAUAAAUGCAAUUCAUUGGAAUCUUAAACAUGCAAUAACCUAUCUAAGAGGGUAAGUUCUAAAAGUAGAUCAUGCUAGAUCUCUUAAUUCCUAGCGUUUGUGAAUGCAAAAGACAAGAAAACAAAGAAAUGUUAGUUCAAUAAAUAAUCACAUAACACGUUGAGCCAAUUAAUUGAUAUAAAAGACAAUAAAGAAAAAUAAGGAAAGAAUGGUGGAAUCCCUCCCCUCGUGCCUAGUGUUCCUAAUUCAGGAUAAGGUCGACUCUACCCUAGGCAAUUCUAAUAUGGAUGCAUGAGGUUUGGCUCACUAAUGCAUCUAGACUAGAUAAGGUUUCGGCUCCCAAGUCUUCAGACCUAAAGGCGAAAGGUCAUCACUCCCAGGACCUUUGAUCGGUGGCUCGAGUGAUUCCUUAGAUAGCGCUAUGGGCGCAGGGCACACCAUCCGCCUACCCAAGGCAAUCAGAGGUGUGGGAAACGCCCACGAAAAAGAAAAAAAUAGGGUAAAUAAGACUAUGCAUGCACGUAUGAGGUGCUUUCUUAUUGAGAGGAGGGAUUAUACCAUCAGAUGCGGUCGAAGGUUCUAGGGUAACUACCCCCCAUCCCAAAAUGCAAUAGCGAAACAAGUAAAAGUAAACAAAUAAAUGAACCAUCCAUUCAUCACAUACAUAGCGUGCGAAGAGCGAUUAUGCGAGUGAUAGAUACAAAAUCCCUAAAAAGAGAAAAAGGGCAAAAGGAAAAGAAGAAUGCAACCCUAAACCUCCAAAUGUGAUAUAUGAAAAGGUUAAAAAAGAAAAAGAUUGACUAAAUCAAAUUUGCUCGGAUUCUCUAAGUUCCCAGUAGAGUCGCCAACUGUCGCGCCCCAUUGUUUAUAGAAAAAUAAUGAGUUUAGAAAAAUGAAUUUUUGAUUUUUUGGAAAAAUGAGUUUUGUUUUUAGAAAAUGAAUAAAGGAAAAUGGCCUAAAUGGGGUUUGUAAUGCGACAAUUUGGGCCCAAAUUAUAGUUAAAAAGGGUUUUUGAAAUAAAAAUUGAAGUCGCCACUUGGUAUAGAGUUAAGGUGUACAAAGUCACUUAAAAAAUGAAUUUUAAAGAAAAAGUAGAAAAACCCUUUUUAAGCGACUCCAAGUCUACGAAAAUCAGAGAAAAAGAUUCGGGAGUCACAUUUGAAGAAAGGGAAGGCAAGGAUAAAAUCCAAGGCACCCUUUCAAUCUAGCCAAGGCUAGUUGCGCGAUUUAGUCCAAGAUUUUCUUAUUUUAACAUAAAGAUUUAUCACAUUUGGAUAUACUAUAUGAAUGCAUACCCUAGACCUAGGAGGGUAUCGGUGUGAGAACCUUGAAAAAAAAAUAUAUAUAUAUAUACAUAUAGGUAUAUAUAUAUAUAUACUUGUCGCAUUUGCAUCUUUGACUUUUAAUAAAUUUUAUUAUUGUUGGUUCUUAGAUAAGUAUGUAAAAAUAAGUUUAAAGUUGCAAAUAAGUUAAUUGUGCAAAAUAUUGGGUUAUUUGAAUUUUUGCCAAAUUAAGUUAAUAUUUCUUGACGUAGAGUGUUUUAUUACGUUAAUAUUAAUUCCUUGAAUUUCAAUAGCUAAUUUUAAGUAUUAAUAAUGUUAGGUGUUAACGGGAACCUAGAAUUACGACGAAAUCGUUUUGGUCAAAACUCUUUAUAAUUACACUUAGGACGUUGAAUCUCGAUAAUUUAAUUUUUGCGAGACUAGUAUGCUAGUAGGCUAUCAAAUUUCAUUUGGGGUGAAAUCUUGGAGUUAGUUUACAAAUGAGGGAUCUAAGUGGAAGGUCAAACAAGAUGUUAAAAGACCAAAUUAGCCUUCCUCCAUUUCAAAUUCACCAUGCAGCCAUGGAACCAUCUUGAACGAGCUUCAAUUCCAAACACUUCCAAUUUCUGCCAGGUCCAUUUUCCACUCUUCAUUCCAGCACCUGCCAUCUCUAAUGCUGACUCAACUCCACUUAAAACACUCCACUAUAUCAACUGCAUUCCACUACAACAACACUUCAAUUCUAUUCCUUCCUCCUGCCGUGAGCCGAGAAUGGAGUAAGAGAGAGAGGGAGCCGAGUUCUUCAUUUUCCUUUCUUCCUGUCCGCAAGCUAUAAAAAAAAUGGGACUGGCUGUUCAUUCUUCCUUCCAUCCGUGAGCUAGUGAAGAGUCUGAGGCCAAACUUCCUCCAUUCUAGUUGCAAGCUUGAGAAGGGAAGAGGGAGAGCUGACGGGCUGCAUUUCUGGACUGUCCGAGAAGAAAAAAUUUGCAGCUGCUAUCCGUGUGAGUUGAGCCCCAAGCUGAGGUAAUUUAUGGACCUAGACUAGUUGUUUAGGGGUAGAUGAUGUUGAUUAUAAGCAUGCAUGUGGUGGUUGUGUGGUUGGAUGAUAGAUUAAGUCACAAGAAAAACUGAUUGUGAAGGAAUUGGAGUUGCCGAAUGAGUAAGCUGGAAAUUUGCGGCUUGAGUUGGCCAAUUUGGGAUAAUUUGAGUUAAAUGUGUCUUUAGCUAGCCAAAAUCUGGGUGAUUGAGCUUUGCAUGAGGAUAAUUAGCCUUGAUUAAGGAAGAAAGUUGUAGGAACACAAAAUCUGCUUGCAUGCAAGCUAACCGAGAAGGACCGAAUGAAUCUCUGGUUGGAUGAUAAUUUUUUUUUAUGUUGUCCGCACUUGGUUUGGAUCAAAACUGAUAGAUAGUUAAUUAUUUUGAUCAUGCAUGUAGCUGAUGUGAGUCGUGGUUAAGGAAAAAGAAAAAGAAAAAAGAAAGAGAUGAAAUCUGAAAUUUGCGGCCGAGAGAAGGGGUUGAACAUUUGAUUAGUUUUCUUCGAAUUCGUAGCUAAGAUUUUCGUAUGGGAUGUUUAAGGUUUGCUUGUAGCUUGCUAAUCACCUUUUGCAUGUUGAGUUGAAGUAAAAAUUGAAGAAAACUAGGGACAAAAGCUCUAUAAGUAAACUACUAUAUCGCUGGAAUUUUUCUUGGUUGUCAGAACAAGGGGAAAAAUCUGAAUUUUUGGAAUUUUUUUUUGUGAGUAAGCUAACCGUGACUUUCUUUUAUGUUUGAGUUAAUUUCUGGUUGAUUGUGGUAAGGAAUGAUUGUAUGUUGUCAAGAGCUAAUGAUUGAUGAAGCUCUUGGCCAUUUGAGUAAUUUUUGCAAGAGUUUAAUGUUUGGUGAGUUUAUUCAAGUAGUUGGCUGAAAUGUACUUGGAAGGUCCAUGGUUUGUGAUUUGGGAUUGUUUUGAUACCUUGGACUUCCUUUGUUGAAUUUUGUUUGGAAUUGAAUCUGUUGAGACCUAGGGCUACUGAUUGAUGAAACCCUAGUGAAAUUGAUGUUUGGUUUGUAAUUUUACUAUAUUGGUCUUUUGAAUUCGAGUAGUUGAUCAAGCUUUAUUGAAAUAUUUUAUCUUAAUAUCAAGAUAUAGAAAUUGAGUAUAGUACGAUAAAACUAAAAUUUAAAUGUCUGGAUUUUUAAAAAACCUUGCUAACUGAUUAAUUCUUUUCUUUGCUUAAACUAGUUCUAGUAUUUUUAAGCAAUAAUUGUAUUAACUUCCAAACUUUAAGUUUUUCAUAAAAUUAUCCUUGACUAGUUGUUUUAGAGGAAAAUUGUUAAAAAUACUAGAUUUGAAUAAUUUCAAAUAAAAGGCAUGGAAAACUUGUUCGGCAAGAAAACUUGUUUGAAUUAAAUUGGUUGUAGUUGUACCUCUAGAAAGAAAAGUAGUUUUAAAGGAAUCAUACGAAAUAUUUUAUUACUUUACUAGCUUUAAUUCUAAGAGAUUUAUUGAUUUAUUCCGAGAAAAUAAAUUAGUUUUAUACCAGAUAAUUUUCUGUAUUUAAACCAAGAGUUUGUAUAGUGAAACUUAUAGUUUUUUUUAAACUUGGUUUUUUAGGGUUUAGCAAGGACGUGGGCUUCGAUUUCCAGCUUGACUUUUGAGCUUCACUUUUGGUGAGUGUCCGUGCUUGUUCUAUGACUAAAGUGUUAAAGUGCUUUCUUGACUUGUUAUGUGAUAAUUGGAAAGUGGUUUUCUUGAACCAUCGAAGUGGCAGUGUGUACUUUAUCGCACUAACCUUUCGAGUGGUGACUUGCUUGAAAUGUUUUCUCGAAUAUCUUGCAAUUGUUGACUGGAGCGUGGACUUGUCAACUAAUCUACCAGGCAGGGGAAUGUACCACACCUUAGGGUGGGAGGGCCUCCUAUCCUGACUUGGUAAAAACGUGUUGUGACGUCGUUGGGUGAAUCCCUCGACUAGUUUAUAAUUGUGACGUCGUUGGGUGAAUCCCUAGUCACCCACGACUAGUUUAUAAUGUGACGUCGUUGGGUGAAUCCCUCGACUAGUUUACAAAAAGGUAUACUCAAGUAAUACCAAACUCUCUCGUGAGAAGAACGGGCCUGGUGGGAGUAAGUUGGUUGGAGCGUGUUAAGAAAAAAAAUAAUGAAUCUACAUGGACUUUAGAUAGUGAGAGUUGACGGAGGUUCAACUGCGGUUAAUUUUGAUCGAGAGUGGGGAAAAUGGCUCCUGAGAGCCCUGUAUCCUACCCUGUACUGUUAUACGCUUUUCUACUUGCUGAAUUUAAGCUUGAAGUUAUGAUUUACUAUUUGUGUUAUAUGAUUGCAUGUUUUGGGGCACCACUGAGUUUUAGCUCACCACACGAUAUUUGUUUUCCUUAACAGGUUUUGGCAUUCGAGAGAUUUGAAGUCUGCUUUGAGCUUUUGUAAAUGUUGUUUCGAAUCGUCUGUGUAUCUUUUGUUUUGGGUUGCCACUUGAAGUUGGAAAAGUGCAAACCCUAAGUUUUGGCUUGUAUAAAUUUAUUUGAACUUUACGAAUUCACCGUGUGGUUUAUAAUAUAUUUUUGUAGUUAUAUGUUGAGCUGGUUGGGGGUGUGUUUAAGAGUGAACGUUCGGAUGUCCAAUGGCAAUGUUAUCUCUGAAGUUAAUGUGUUCUUAGUAUUCUGGUUGUAAAGGUUUGGCUUGUUCGGGAGACGUAUGGUGUUUUGGUUUAAGUUAUACGUGGAUAAUUAGUCGGUUUGCUUGCGUGAGUCCUGGCGAGAGCUAGGCAGGCGACCCGCCAACCCUCUGGUUCGCCUUAGAGAGAAGUGGGGCCGCCACAAUCGGGGAGUCAAAAUAUCUCUUCGAAGCUCAAUUGGUACCAAUCACAUUAAUUGUGAUGCCCAAAGUGAUUAUUUCGAAGAAGUCACGAAUUGUGCAAAAAUAUGAGACUCAAAGAGAAAAUACGAAAAUACAAGUAUGUACAGAUAUACAUGACCUAAAGGGAUGCAUCAUAACGGGUGCGGGGAGACUAAUGUUCGUGACUUAAUUUUCCCUUUAAUAGAGGGAAUACGGGCGUGCUAAGGUUAGAAAGCCAAACUCGUCCAUAUCCCAUACGCAAGGGGUUUUCCUAAUCUAGCAUGCAAAUGAUUUAACCUAGUUUCUACCUCUUAAAUGAAAUGCAAGUCUAAUGUUAUGUUUUCAUACAAAGGGGUAAGGAAUAUAUAUAUAAGGGAAAAUACGAAAUAAGGGAUAUAAGUAGAAGGGAAUAUGGGAUAAAGGAUGUACAUAUAUAAAAAAGUGUCAUGCAACAUGGUAAAACCCUAAAAAGUGAAAACAUGCAUGAGAUGAAGUGAUUUUAUCACACAACCAUGAUCUAACGCUCGAGAGGCUCCUAAGGGUCUAGCGUUGGACUAGCCCAUGUCUACAAUUUCCCACUAGCAUUGGACUAGUGAGAAAAGUCGGAACAAAGGGCCACAACUAGCGUUGGACUAGUGUGGUGACGUCACACAUCGGUUACAAUCAAAUAAAUCAUGUAAGACCUAAUAAAAGCAUGUAAACACAUAAAUCACAUAUAGCACAUAACACAUAAACAUGAUAUCUAGAUGCAAGACCCUAAGAAAGCGGUAACACAUAGCACAUAGACAUGCAAAACACACAUAAGGCAAAUAAAGCAAAUAAAGCCCUAACUAUUACAUUCGGAGGAAGCCUACUACAAUCUAAAAGGGGAAACGGAAUAAAAUAAAUAAAAUAAUAACCUAACUAUUACAACUUUGGCAUUCAAGUGCCUUUCAAAUGAUCGAAAUUGAAAAUAACUAUACAAAACUAAAACAAAUAAAGUGGAUAAAUAAAUAAAUAAAUAAAAUGAAAACAUUCAAAAGGCAUGCAAUUAAGCACAUAAAUCACAUAGACACAUAGAGUCAAAUAAAGUGAAAAUAAGGGAUAGAGUGUACCUCCCUUGCAAUGGUAAUCAAAUGAAGAAAAAACAACUUCAAAACAAUAAAAGGGUCAAGGCACCAAUUAAAUAGUAAAGUAUAAACAAAAUCACCAAAUCCCUCCCAAUUGCAACUUAAAUGAAAUCAAAUAAUGCAUAAUUUCCAAGAAAAGUAAAUUAUUGAUCAUAUUUCAAAAAUAGAAGAACUACGAAGGACCCAAUUGCAAAUAUUAACCAAUCACUCAAACCCAAUUAACACAUUUUGAGAAAUUCACGGGUCCAAGAGCAAAGAAGGGGUCAAGUAAUGGUUCAAAUUGCAAUUAUUCUAGGACCUAAUUGCGAGAAAUUAGAACAUAAUUGAGCCAUAGUAAGAUAAAGGGAAGCUUAGGGGAUUAAAGUGCAAUUUUUGAAAACCAUUUUGCAUGCAAGAGCCAUGAAACAAGCUUCUGCAACCGAAAGUCCUUCAGCAGCUAAAGAGAUUCAUCCGCAAGCUUUAUCCAUACAUCCUUGGGUAAACAAAACUUUGAACUAAAUUAACACAUGUACAAACACCCCUUAACAAAGCAAUUCUUUUAAGAAAUUCAUGCAAGUUUCAUGCAAACAAAUGAGCUUCUGCCACUGAAGGAGAAAUCUGCUGCAUUUUCGUUUACAAAACUCAUGUCUCAAACAAUCUUUGAUCAAACUUCUCCAACCAAACACUCAAAAACUUAAUCUAAGCAACGUGACACGCAAUUUCAACAUCGCAACAAACCAAAACAUAGAAGGAAAAUCACACAAAUGCUAGAGAAAUUUCCAGCAAACAUUCGACAACUUGAUUUGUUCAUUUUCCAGCAAGUAUUCGAUCAUAGUUCAAGUAUUUCAGACCCUAAACAUGCAAACUCAACACCACUUAUCCAAUUCCCCUUCAACACCAUAUUAAGCAUGCAACUUAAAUGUAAAAACUCAAUGAGCAUCCAUGGAGAAUAAAACAGCACAAAAGAAUGCAACAGCUUUUUGCUUUGCUGCGAAUUUCGCAGCUUCAAACUCGCGUACGUUAAAUGCUGAAAACAUUGCAUUAAACUCUCCAUUUAUUUACCAAACUCACACACAUCUCCAAACCUCCAUCUAUCACUGAUCAAACAUAGUUACCUCCCCCCCAAAGUACCCCAACCGAAAUGAUCCAGGCCCAAGAAAGCGAGAACAAUACAAAAUUGCAGCAAAGAAAGGGAAAAAAAUGAAACUUGCGGUAAACUGAAGUUGGGAUCUACGAAAGUCAUGAUUUUUCCUAGUCAACCCAUCUAAUCAUUGAACAUCAAACUACCCUAAAGCCUUUUAAAUGCAUUUGAGUCAAUCAGACGAAAUCUGCAGGGCAUCAUGAGCCACAAAGGGAUGAAAUACAAUCAUAUUCACAAGGAAGGAACAAGAAACUGAUCUGACGAACUCAAAUCUUCAUCAAAUAUUUGUGUUAAAGCGACAAGAAACAAAGCUAUAAUUACCUGCAAGAGUUGGUGAAGCAAAGCAAUGUGAAAUAUGUCUGAAAAAUGAAUGCAGAUUCCAGAAAUGAGAUUGAGAAUGUUGCCGCAGAACUUCAGCGCUGAUGAAGCCGUCACUUGGGCUCUUGAUUUAGCUGUCUUCCCGUGAUCUUUUCCCAGAGAUUGGUGAACGAGAUUUCCUCUAUGGCCUCCCAAGAGUGCGCAGAAAUCAAAAGAUCCUUCAGAAGGCCAGAAUCAAAACAGGAAUCUUGUCCCAAAGUAGGCUAGUUCAUCAGUCGGGCUGAGCUUUUGCAGAAGGGAUUCCUGCAAUUUUCCUUCCGUCAUUACCCGAAGCUUUCUUCUUCUGGUUCUUGUUUUUGUUUCUUAUCCGUAGCCUCUAUUCCAUCUUAGCUCUCCCUACUCAGAUUUUCUAGCCGUCGGCUUGCUAUUUCCUUUCUCCCUUGGCCACCCAGAUUCUCCCCUCACUCUCGUUGCUUUCUUCUCUCUCACUGAUUCUUUUCCCUCGCCUUCCUACUCAGCCGUCACUCCUCUCUUGUUGCUUUCUUUUUUCUCUACCGAAUCUCCCUCGUUCAUCCCCCCGUAGCCUCUUGCCUUCAGCCACCCAUUCCACUCUACUCUCCUUUCUCAGAUCCUUUAUCCCCAGAAUUUUCUUUUGCCGUCAGCCUUUUCUUUCCUGCCCCGCUCUCGAUUUUUCCUCUCCAGCCGCCAGAGCCUAAAACCCUUUUUAGCCUUCAAACUCUCCCUUCACUCUUUCCUUCAGCCGUCAUCCGACCCCUUCCUUCUUUUUUUUUUGGCUGUGUUUUCUCUUCAGCUUUUAUAUGGAACCCAUGUCGCUAAAACCUACCUUCAAGGGUGCCGAUGAAACCCCUGUUUUGCUGGCAGGUUUUCUUUCAAAA